GAGGGUGUAGUUCAGUGGUAGAGCCCUUGCCUAUAAUGUAAAGGCCUUGGAUUCAAUCCCCAGCACCUCCA
rnacentral:tRNA from 1 species